rnacentral:rRNA from 1 species
UAAACAUUGAUACAUUACUACAUUUUCAAUCCGCCCGGGUACUACAAGCACUAGCUUAAAACCCAAAGGACUUGGCGGUGCUUAAGAUCCCCCUAGAGGAGCCUGUUCUAGAACCGAUAAUCCACGUUUAACCUCACCCUCCCUUGUUUUUUCCGCCUAUAUACCGCCGUCGUCAGCUUACCCUGUGAAGGCCCAAUAGUGAGCAAAAAUGGCACAGCCCAAAACGUCAGGUCGAGGUGUAGCGCAUGAGAGGGGAAGAAAUGGGCUACAUUCUCUAAAAAUAGAAGCACACGGAUAAUAUAUUGAAACAUAUGUUUUAAGGAGGAUUUAGCAGUAAGUAGAAAUUAGAAUACUCCACUGAACCCGGCCCUAAAGCGCGCACACACCGCCCGUCACUCUCCCCAAGUCUAAAGCCCCCGCACUUAAUAAUAAGUACCACCAGCAAAGGGGAGGCAAGUCGUAACAUGGUAAGUGUACCGGAAGGUGUACUUGGAUAAAU